rnacentral:rRNA from 1 species
GACAAACGCUGGCGGCGUGCCUAAUACAUGCAAGUUGAGCGAUGAAGAUUGGUGCUUGCACCAAUUUGAAGAGCAGCGAACGGGUGAGUAACGCGUGGGGAGUCUGCCUUUGAGCGGGGGACAACAUUUGGAAACGAAUGCUAAUACCGCAUAACAACUUUAAACAUAAGUUUUAAGUUUGAAAGAUGCAAUUGCAUCACUCAAAGAUGAUCCCGCGUUGUAUUAGCUAGUUGGUGAGGUAAAGGCUCACCAAGGCGAUGAUACAUAGCCGACCUGAGAGGGUGAUCGGCCACAUUGGGACUGGGACACGGCCCAAACUCCUACGGGAGGCAGCAGUAGGGAAUCUUCGGCAAUGGACGAAAGUCUGACCGAGCAACGCCGCGUGAGUGAAGAAGGUUUUCGGAUCGUAAAACUCUGUUGGUAGGGAAGAAAGUUGGUGAGAGUGGAAAGCUCAUCAAGUGACGGUAACUACCCAGAAAGGGACGGCUAACUACGUG